AUUGAACGCUGGCGGCAGGCCUAACACAUGCAAGUCGAACGAGUGGCGGACGGGUGAGUAAUGUCUGGGCAACUGCCCGAUGGAGGGGGAUAACUACUGGAAACAGUAGCUAAUCCCGCAUACCAUCGGAUGUGCCCAGAUGGGAUUAGCUAGUGGGGGGGGUAAAGGCUCACCUAGGCGACGAACCCUAGCUGGUCUGAGAGGAUGACCAGCCACACUGGAACUGAGACACGGUCCAGACUCCUACGGGAGGCAGCAGUGGGGAAGAUGGCACAAUGGGCGCAAGCCUGAUGCAGCCAGGCCGCGUGUAUGAAGAAGGCCUUCGGGUUGUAAAGUACUUUCAGCGAGGAGGCGUUACUCGCAGAAGAAGCACCGGCUAACUCCGUGCCAGCAGCCGCGGUAAUUC
rnacentral:rRNA from 1 species